rnacentral:lncRNA from 1 species
CAGGCUCACCACAGGGGAACAGCGCCCUUGAGUUUCAGCCUUAGGAAAACAAGGUUAUCGUAGUUGGGAGACUGUAAGAGCAGCUCUUCUCACCAGCAGUGCCAUCUGGUUAUCUGGCCUUGUCUCACUUGUGCUGGCAGCAGCUGGUCUGUUUGUCCAACUGGUUCCUGGUUAGUUCAGUGCUAGUGUUCCGUGGGGUUGCAUGCUUUGCUCCUGCUUGUUACUUUACAGAAAGCUGUCAGGAACAGGGGACCCAGGUCAUACUGUGCCACUGUUGCAACCCUCUCUGCCUGCCACUGAGGAGUGAAGCUCCCGGGCAGGGCCCAGGAAAGCACCCUUUGGCAGCACCAGGGAACUGAGCUUCUCAAAGAUCAGGCAGUAAAAGCAGG